rnacentral:rRNA from 1 species
UACGUAGGCGGAAAAUUAAGUCAGUAGUGAAAUCCUGCAGCUUAACCGUAGAACUGUUAUUGAUACUGGUUUUCUUGAAUAUAGUUGAGGUAGGCGGAAUGUGUAAUGUAGCGGUGAAAUGCUUAGAUAUUACACAGAACACCGAUUGCGAAGGCAGCUUACUAAGCUACUAUUGACGCUGAGGUACGAAAGCGUGGGGAGCGAACAGGAUUAGAUACCCUGGUAGUCC